GUCCACGCCUUAAACGAUGGGUACUAGCUGUCGGGAAGUUUAUCUUCUUGGUGGCGCAGCUAACGCAAUAAGUACCCCGCCUGGGGAGUACGGCCGCAAGGUUAAAACUCAAAGGAAUUGACGGGGGCCCGCACAAGCGGUGGAGCAUGUGGUUCAAUUCGAUGCAACGCGAAAAACCUUACCUGCCCUUGACAUCUGGGGAAUCCCACAGAGAUGUGGGAGUGCCGCAAGGAACCCCAAGACAGGUGCUGCAUGGCUGUCGU
rnacentral:rRNA from 1 species